UGACAGGUGGUGCAUGGUUGUCGUCGGCUCGUGUCGUGAGAUGUUGGGUUAAGUCCCGCAACGAGCGCAACCCCUAUUGUUAGUUGCCAUCAUUCAGUUGGGCACUCUAGCGAGACUGCCGGUAAUAAACCGGAGGAAGUGGGGAUGACGUCAAAUCAUCAUGCCCCUUAUGACCUGGGCUACACACGUGCUACAAUGGUUGGUACAACGAGUUGCGAGUCGGUGACGGCGAGCUAAUCUCUUAAAGCCAAUCUCAGUUCGGAUUGUAGGCUGCAACUCGCCUACAUGAAGUCGGAAUCGCUAGUAAUCGCGGAUCAGCACGCCGCGGUGAAUACGUUCCCGGGCCUU
rnacentral:rRNA from 1 species